AAGAUCGAGAUGAAUGAAGAAAGAGCAACGACAUAAGAAUGACAGUAAUUCUAUAGCUCAGAAUGCAUGGCAUUUAUUAGUCUAUGGAUCAUAAAAUCCCUGUGGAGAUGGGAAGAAAAAAAAUAGCUUUAAUUUCAUGAAUAAAGAAGGCCACUUGAGGAUCUUUCUGCUGCCAGUGUCCAGUCUUUAUUGCUUACCUGUAAAGAGGAAUCCUGGAAUUCUAACAAUCCCUCAAAAUAAAGUCUCUACUUCUCUAA